GAGUUUGAUCCUGGCUCAGAUUGAACGCUGGCGGCAUGCUUUACACAUGCAAGUCGAACGGUAACAGCACUUCGGUGGCUGACGAGUGGCGAACGGGUGAGUAAUACAUCGGAACGUGCCUAGUAGUGGGGGAUAACUACUCGAAAGAGUAGCUAAUACCGCAUGAGAUCUACGGAUGAAAGCAGGGGACCUUCGGGCCUUGUGCUACUAGAGCGGCUGAUGGCAGAUUAGGUAGUUGGUGGGAUAAAAGCUUACCAAGCCGACGAUCUGUAGCUGGUCUGAGAGGACGACCAGCCACACUGGGACUGAGACACGGCCCAGACUCCUACGGGAGGCAGCAGUGGGGAAUUUUGGACAAUGGGCGCAAGCCUGAUCCAGCAAUGCCGCGUGCAGGAUGAAGGCCUUCGGGUUGUAAACUGCUUUUGUACGGAACGAAAAGCCUUCUUCUAAUACAGGAGGGUCAUGACGGUACCGUAAGAAUAAGCA
rnacentral:rRNA from 1 species